rnacentral:rRNA from 1 species
CCUACGGGUGACAGCAGUGAGGAAUAUUGGUCAAUGGGCGAAAGCCUGAACCAGCCAUGCCGCGUGCAGGAAGACGGCUCUAUGAGUUGUAAACUGCUUUUGUACGAGGGUAAACACAGAUACGUGUAUCUGCUUGAAAGUAUCGUACGAAUAAGGAUCGGCUAACUCCGUGCCAGCAGCCGCGGUAAUACGGAGGAUCCAAGCGUUAUCCGGAUUUAUUGGGUUUAAAGGGUGCGUAGGCGGAUUGAUAAGUUAGAGGUGAAAUGUCCGAGCUUAACUCGGGAACUGCCUCUAAUACUGUUGAUCUAGAGAGUAGAUGCGGUAGGCGGAAUGUAUGGUGUAGCGGUGAAAUGCUUAGAGAUCAUACAGAACACCGAUUGCGAAGGCAGCUUACCAAUCUAUAUCUGACGUUGAGGCACGAAAGCGUGGGGAGCAAACAGGAUUAGAUACCCGUGUAGUC